rnacentral:rRNA from 1 species
GACGAACGCUGGCGGUAGGCCUAACACAUGCAAGUCGAACGGCAGCACAGGAGAGCUUGCUCUCUGGGUGGCGAGUGGCGGACGGGUGAGGAAUACAUCGGAAUCUACUUUUUCGUGGGGGAUAACGUAGGGAAACUUACGCUAAUACCGCAUACGACCUACGGGUGAAAGCAGGGGACCUUCGGACCUUGCGCGAUUGAAUGAGCCGAUGUCGGAUUAGCUAGUUGGCGGGGUAAAGGCCCACCAAGGCGACGAUCCGUAGCUGGUCUGAGAGGAUGAUCAGCCACACUGGAACUGAGACACGGUCCAGACUCCUACGGGAGGCAGCAGUGGGGAAUAUUGGACAAUGGGCGCAAGCCUGAUCCAGCCAUACCGCGUGGGUGAAGAAGGCCUUCGGGUUGUAAAGCCCUUUUGUUGGGAAAGAAAUCCAGCUGGUUAAUACCCGGUUGGGAUGACGGUACCCAAAGAAUAAGCACCGGCUAACUUCGUGCCAGCCGCCGCAGUAA